GACGAACGCUGGCGGCGUGCCUAAUACAUGCAAGUCGAGCGAAGUUUUUCUGGUGCUUGCACCGGAAAAACUUAGCGGCGAAGGGGUGAGUAACACGUAAAGAACCUGCCUCAUAGACUGAGACAACUAUUGGAAACGAUAGCUAAUACCGGAUAAUAUCAUUAACUGCAUGGUUGAUGUGUAAAAGUUGGUUUUUCUAACACUAUGAUAUGGCUUUGCGGUGCAUUAGCUAGUUGGUGGGGUAAAGGCCUACCAAGGCGACGAUGCAUAGCCGACCUGAGAGGGUGAUCGGCCACACUGGGACUGAGACACGGCCCAGACUCCUACGGGAGGCAGCAGUAGGGAAUCUUCCGCAAUGGGCGAAAGCCUGACGGAGCAACGCCGCGUGAGUGAAGAAGGAUUUCGGUUCGUAAAGCUCUGUUGUUAGGGAAGAAUGAUUGUGUAGUAAAUAUACACAGUAGAGACGGUACCUAACCAGAAAGCCACGGCUAACUACGUG
rnacentral:rRNA from 1 species